rnacentral:rRNA from 1 species
AUUGAACGCUGGCAGCAGGCCUAACACAUGCAAGUCGAGCGGAAACGAAGGGAGCCUGCUCCCAGGCGUCGAGCGGCGGACGGGUGAGUAACACGUGAGAAUCUGCCCAUUAGUGGGGGACAACUCGGGGAAACUCGAGCUAAUACCGCAUAAUCCCUACGGGGGAAAGCAGGGGACCUUUUGGCCUUGCGCUGAUGGAUGAGCUAACGUCGGAUCAGCUUGUUGGUGAGGUAAAGGCUCACCAAGGCGACGAUCCGUAGCUGGUCUGAGAGGAUGAUCAGCCACACUGGGACUGAGACACGGCCCAGACUCCUACGGGAGGCAGCAGUGGGGAAUCUUGGACAAUGGGGGCAACCCUGAUCCAGUCAUGCCGCGUGCGUGAAGAAGGCCUUCGGGCUGUAAAGCACUUUCAGCAGGGAGGAAGGCUUUGGCCGAAUAGGUUGAAGUACUUGACGUUACCUGCAGAAGAAGCACCGGCUAAUUUCGUGCCAGCCGCCGCCGUAA